rnacentral:rRNA from 1 species
AUUGAACGCUGGCAGCAGGCCUAACACAUGCAAGUCGAGCGGAUGAAGGGAGCUUGCUCCUGGAUUCAGCGGCGGACGGGUGAGUAAUGCCUAGGAAUCUGCCUGGUAGUGGGGGAUAACGUCGGGAAACGGGCGCUAAUACCGCAUACGUCCUGAGGGAGAAAGUGGGGGAUCUUCGGACCUCACGCUAUCAGAGGAGCCUAGGUCGGAUUAGCUAGUUGGUGGGGUAAAGGCCUACCAAGGCGACGAUCCGUAACUGGUCUGAGAGGAUGAUCAGUCACACUGGAACUGAGACACGGUCCAGACUCCUACGGGAGGCAGCAGUGGGGAAUAUUGGACAAUGGGCGAAAGCCUGAUCCAGCCAUGCCGCGUGUGUGAAGAAGGUCUUCGGAUUGUAAAGCACUUUAAGUUGGGAGGAAGGGCAGUAAGUUAAUACCUUGCUGUUUUGACGUUACCAACAGAAUAAGCACCGGCUAACUUCGUG